CUCGUCGUCGGUCUGCUGGGGCGGGAACGAGACCGGUCCGGACGGACCGAAGCCCGACGGCGGCGCCGGGGGUUCGAAGCCCGGCGGCGCGG
rnacentral:tRNA from 1 species